UGAGGAACAUGACCUUCGGCGGGGGAUAGCCGGCCCAACGGCCGGGUAAUACCGCGUACGACCACAUGGGGACAUCCCUGAGUGGUGAAAGCAGCAAUGCGCCGAUGGAGUGCCUCGCGGCCUAUCAGCUAGUUGGUGAGGUAACGGCUCACCAAGGCGACGACGGGUAGCUGGUCUGAGAGGAUGGCCAGCCACAUUGGGACUGAGACACGGCCCAGACCUNUACCGGGAGG
rnacentral:rRNA from 1 species